CGGGAUGUAGCCCCGCAUGCUGCGGGGCACACGUCUGGGGGCGUGGGGUCGCAAGUUCGAAUCUUGUCAUCCCGA
rnacentral:tRNA from 1 species